rnacentral:rRNA from 1 species
GAUAAGGUUAAGUGAAUAAGGGCGCACGGUGGAUGCCUUGGCACUAGGAGCCGAUGAAGGACGGGACUAACACCGAUAUGCUUUGGGGAGCUGUACGUAAGCUAUGAUCCAGAGAUUUCCGAAUGGGGGAACCCAGCAUCUUUAAUAGGAUGUUACGAUUGUGUGAAUACAUAGCACAUUCGAGGUAGACGCAGAGAACUGAAACAUCUAAG